CCUCUCCCAAGUUGGACACUUAAAAUAAGGUCCUCGUAAACUCCUUCAGCUUGAGAGUUUCCAGGAAAGAGAAUGUUAAUUUUGUUGACAAAUUCCAGCGUCCUGAAGCCCCAGGUCUUAAUUCUUUGUGCAAACUCUCUGUCCUGAGUUUGCAUGCCCUCCUUGUGCCCCUAAUUAGUCUUGUCAUGAGCUCCUAUGCUAUCGUUUUAAACAUAACCCUGUGUCCUGGGAGCCAAGGGGUCCUUUGGGGUGAGUAGUGUUGUAUUUGUGUAUAUUUUUAAAAAAUGGUCAUCGCUCCUCAGGCUGCAGCCGCCAUCAUUUUUCAGCAGAGGUGUUGCCAUAGAGAUGUUGUCUGAUCCAUCUCUAUCGAUAUCCCCCUUUAAAGGGGGCCCUGAAUAGGCACUGAGGCCCGGAGUUAAUGCAAGUCUUGUUUGGAGCCACUGAAGCAGAAAUUUCUCUGCUGCCAAGGACAAAAGCUUCACAGGCCACCUCAGAGGCUGCUUUGGGAAGGCUGUGUCUCCUGGGCUCCCAAAGGAAAUGGGAGAUAACAUGGACCACGGAGGAGCGCCCUCAGAAUUUGCCCAGCUCUCCUAGAUGGGCCACAUCUGGCCCCCCCGGAGUCUCUGGUGAAGGGCGCCCUUCUCCAAUCAAGGGUUUUCAUUUGAUUUGCCUUUUUCCGGUCUGUUGAGAGAAAUCAUCUUGAAGAUGUGUGUGCUUUUCUGUCUGUAGCGAGAAUGUGUAUUUGCGCAGCUCUCUGCUCUGUCUUUUCCCUCCCAGGAGCCAGAGGAGAAAACAAUGACAGUUUUCUUAGGAAAAACAAGUACAGUUUCAUUGGUUCAUGCCUUUAUGUUUAAACUAAAUAACACCCAAGUCCUCUUCCCACUUUGAGAAGAAGGAAGGGAGGAAGGAUUCAUUGAGUGCCCUGCGUCCUGGAGCAGUGUCUGGGACUUGGUGAGUGGCCAUGAGUGAAUUUGGUUGAAGAAUAAAUGAACGGAUGUUUAAACCCAGGCAUCAUGCUAGGAGUUUCCAGAAAUAUUUUUUCCACUUACUCUUCACAACCCUGGGACACGGG
rnacentral:lncRNA from 1 species